CCUACGGGAGGCAGCAGUGGGGAAUAUUGCACAAUGGGGGAAACCCUGAUGCAGCAACGCCGCGUGAGUGAAGAAGUAUUUCGGUACGUAAAGCUCUAUCAGCAGGGAAGAAAAUGACGGUACCUGACUAAGAAGCCCCGGCUAACUACGUGCCAGCAGCCGCGGUAAUACGUAGGGGGCAAGCGUUAUCCGGAUUUACUGGGUGUAAAGGGAGCGUAGACGGCAGCGCAAGUCUGGAGGGAAAUCCCAUGGCUUAACCAUGGAACUGCUUUGGAAACUGUGCAGCUAGAGUGCAGGAGAGGUAAGCGGAAUUCCUGGUGUAGCGGUGAAAUGCGUAGAUAUUAGGAGGAACACCAGUGGCGAAGGCGGCUUACUGGACUGUAACUGACGUUGAGGCUCGAAAGCGUGGGGAGCAAACAGGAUUAGAUACCCCUGUAGUC
rnacentral:rRNA from 1 species